CACCGCAAGGCCUGCUGGGAUGGACGUCCCUUGGCAGAGUGCCCCCUAUGGGGCGAACAGGCCAGAUGGCUGCACUGGGUGCUGCAGUGAGCCCAGAGAGCACAGCAGAUCCAUUGGCGAUACUAACAGUGGCCGCUCAACUCACCCAGGGGCUGGAAUGGGACUUUCAAUGACACACACACGCACUCACACACGCACACACACACCUGGUCUAAAAGGAAGGAUGGGUCAGAGGAGGUCAGAAAACUUCUGGGGCGGAGAGAGAGUUGAAGUGGAGGUGAUUGGGGUUGCCCGACCCCCGGUUGGGGGAGGCCAGCCAAAGAACCUAGAAGGGAAGAAAGGAAAAGUUUUCCACUCUUACAGUUCAGGCCCUGAACAUGGGGCCCUCCACUGGCUGGAUAUUGCUCACUCCAGGACUACUGCAGCUGAGAGAUCGCCAGGACUUCUAAUAAAAGUCAGCAGACGGGCAUAAUUGGAAACAUUGGUCAUAUUACCAAAGCUUUGACUGGAAUGUCAUAUUUGAGAGAGAUCUACAUGGAAUCAGAUAUGGCCAGACAGCUUUAUGCAGCCAAUAAAGCUCCUCGGAAAAAGGGCUUGCAGGAUUCCAGUCAGCCUUACCAGGAGGGUCUCAGCCAAGAACCUAGAAGGAUGGAGGGAAAAUUAUUUUUCCUCCCCUGCAGUAUGAAAGAAACUGAAGAAAUAAACACCCCUGCAAACAGAAAAAAAUGAGUCCCCCCUCAAAAAAGAAACACAAAGAAA
rnacentral:lncRNA from 1 species